UACAGAGGUCUCAAGCGUUGUUCGGAUUCAUUGGGCGUAAAGGGUGCGUAGGCGGCGCGGUAAGUCGGGUGUGAAAUCUCGGAGCUUAACUCCGAAACUGCAUUCGGUACUGCCGUGCUUGAGGACUGGAGAGGAGACUGGAAUUUACGGUGUAGCGGUGAAAUGCGUAGAUAUCGUAAGGAAGACCAGUGGCGAAGGCGGGUCUCUGGACAGGUUCCUGACGCUGAGGCACGAAGGCCAGGGGAGCAAACGGG
rnacentral:rRNA from 1 species